rnacentral:rRNA from 1 species
CCUGCGGAAUAGCUCCGGGAAACUGGAAUUAAUACCGCAUACGCCCUACGGGGGAAAGAUUUAUCGGGGAAGGAUGAGCCCGCGUUGGAUUAGCUAGUUGGUGGGGUAAAGGCCUACCAAGGCGACGAUCCAUAGCUGGUCUGAGAGGAUGAUCAGCCACAUUGGGACUGAGACACGGCCCAAACUCCUACGGGAGGCAGCAGUGGGGAAUAUUGGACAAUGGGCGCAAGCCUGAUCCAGCCAUGCCGCGUGAGUGAUGAAGGCCUUAGGGUUGUAAAGCUCUUUCACCGGAGAAGAUAAUGACGGUAUCCGGAGAAGAAGCCCCGGCUAACUUCGUGCCAGCAGCCGCGGUAAUACGAAGGGGGCUAGCGUUGUUCGGAAUUACUGGGCGUAAAGCGCACGUAGGCGGAUAUUUAAGUCAGGGGUGAAAUCCCAGAGCUCAACUCUGGAACUGCCUUUGAUACUGGGUAUCUUGAGUAUGGAAGAGGUAAGUGGAAUUCCGAGUGUAGAGGUGAAAUUCGUAGAUAUUCGGAGGAACACCAGUGGCGAAGGCGGCUUACUGGUCCAUUACUGACGCUGAGGUGCGAAAGCGUGGGGAGCAAACAGGAUUAGAUACCCUGUUAGUCCACGCCGUAAACGAUGAAUGUUAGCCGUCGGGCAGUAUACUGUUCGGUGGCGCAGCUAACGCAUUAAACAUUCCGCCUGGGGAGUACGGUCGCAGGAUUAAAACUCAAAGGAUUGACGGGGGCCCGCACAAGCGGUGGAAGCAUGUGGUUAAUUCGAAGCAACGCGCAGAACCUUACCAGCUCUUGACAUUCGGGGUUUGGGCAGUGGAGACAUUGUCCUUCAGUUAGGCUGGCCCCAGAAUAGGUGCUGCAUGGGCUGUCGUCAGCUC